AGAGUGUAGCUCAGUGGUAGAGCACGUGCUUAGCAUGCAUAGGUCCUGGGGUAAAUCCCCAGCACCUCCA
rnacentral:tRNA from 1 species